GGCUUCUUAGUCUAGCGGCCAGAACGGCUCGUUCACGUCGAGCAGGUGGAGGUUCGAUUCCUCCAGGAGCCA
rnacentral:tRNA from 1 species